GUCUUUUUGAUUAUAAUUUAAAGUCUGACCUGCCCAAUGAGUAUUUGAAUGGCCGCGGUAAUUUGACCGUGCAAAGGUAGCAUAAUCAUUAGUUUUUUAAUUGAAAGCUGGAAUGAACGGUUGGACGAGAAAAUAACUGUCUCAAUUUAAUUGAAUAUAGAAUUUUAUUUAUAAGUAAAAAAGCUUAUAUAAUUUUAAAAGACGAGAAGACCCUAUAGAGUUUUAUAUUUUAGUAUAUUAAUUAGGUUUAGUAUGUUUAUAUUUUUGAUAUAUUAACAUAUUUUGCUGGGGCAGCAGAAAAAUUUAAAUAACUUUUUUUAUUAUUAUUACAUUGAUUUAUGAGUGUUUGAUCCAUUUUUUAUGAUUAUAAGAUUAAAUUACCUUAGGGAUAACAGCGUAAUUUUUUUUUAGAGUUCUUAUCGAAAAAAGAGUUUGCGACCUCGAUGUUGGAUUAAAAUUAACUUUUGGUGUAGGGGCUAAAAGGUUAGGUCUGUUCGACCUUUAAAAUUUUACA
rnacentral:rRNA from 1 species